rnacentral:rRNA from 1 species
AUUGAACGCUGGCGGCAGGCCUAACACAUGCAAGUCGAGCGAGCGGCGGACGGGUGAGUAAUGUCUGGGAAACUGCCUGAUGGAGGGGGAUAACUACUGGAAACGGUAGCUAAUACCGCAUACCAUCAGAUGUGCCCAGGUGGGAUUAGCUAGUAGGUGGGGUAACGGCUCACCUAGGCGACGAUCCCUAGCUGGUCUGAGAGGAUGACCAGGAACAUGGGAACUGAGACAAGGCCCAGACUCCUACGGGAGGCAGCAGUGGGGAAGAUUGGACAAUGGGCGCAAGCCUGAUGCAGCCAUGCCGGGUGUGUGAAGAAGGCGUUAGGGUUGUAAAGCAAUUUCAGCGGGGAGGCGUUACCCGCAGAAGAAGCACCGGCUAACUCCGUGCCAGCAGCCGCGGUAAUUC